CUCCAGCCAAUUAAGCUGACUGCCCCCCUCUCCCCAUGGGGUCCCCAUGUACAGUGGCUGCAUUCUGCAGCCUCCUUGGUAGUGUAUGCGGCCUGCUGCUUGUACGGAUUGCCCUAAGGGACUUGGAGAAAGCC
rnacentral:snoRNA from 1 species